GCCGGCUGGACGCGGCGGCGCGCACGCAGGCCUCGCCACUCCCGGGCCUUCUCCCUCACGCCGGCCGCAGGGCGGGCGCGCACGCCGAGUGACGCUUGGAGGAGGAAGCGCAGCCCCCUUCCCCUCCCUCGCUGCCCCUGGCCCAGCGGGAGCCCCCCCAGUGCGCCUGUGCAGAGGCCUACUUGAUUAUGUGUGCCCUCUCCGGGCUCCAGCGUUAGCGGCCGGGUGGAGGUGGGGAGGGAAGAAGACGAGGAGGAGGAGGAGGAGGCGGUGGAGGGGAGGUGGGGGGAGUCAGCAAGGACAUGGCUCCUGACUCCUGUGCGGAACAUGGUCUCUAGCGACCGGCCCGUGUCACUGGAGGACGAGGUCUCCCAUAGUAUGAAGGAGAUGAUUGGAGGCUGUUGCGUUUGCUCAGACGAGAGAGGCUGGGCCGAGAACCCGCUGGUUUAUUGCGACGGGCACGGCUGCAGCGUCGCGGUGCAUCAAGCUUGCUAUGGCAUUGUUCAAGUACCCACUGGACCAUGGUUUUGCAGGAAAUGUGAAUCUCAGGAGAGAGCAGCCAGAGUGAGAUGUGAACUGUGUCCUCAUAAGGAUGGAGCUUUAAAAAGAACAGAUAAUGGCGGUUGGGCUCAUGUCGUUUGUGCCCUGUAUAUUCCAGAGGUCCAGUUUGCCAAUGUUUCUACAAUGGAACCAAUUGUUUUACAGUCUGUCCCGCAUGAUCGUUAUAAUAAGACUUGCUACAUUUGUGAUGAACAAGGAAGAGAAAGCAAGGCAGCCACUGGUGCUUGCAUGACAUGUAAUAAACAUGGAUGUCGACAGGCUUUCCAUGUGACCUGUGCUCAGUUUGCUGGACUACUUUGUGAAGAGGAAGGUAAUGGUGCAGAUAAUGUCCAAUACUGUGGCUACUGUAAAUACCAUUUUAGUAAGCUGAAAAAGAGCAAACGGGGAUCUAAUAGGUCAUAUGAUCAAAGUUUAAGUGAUUCUUCCUCUCACUCUCAGGAUAAACAUCAUGAGAAAGAGAAAAAAAAAUAUAAAGAAAAGGACAAACACAAACAGAAACACAAGAAGCAGCCAGAACCAUCACCUGCAUUGGUUCCUUCCUUGACUGUUACUACAGAAAAAACUUAUACAAGCACUAGCAGCAACUCUAUACCUGGAUCUUUGAAGCGCUUGGAAGACACUUCAGCACGAUUUACAAAUGCAAAUUUCCAGGAAGUUUCUGCGCACACAACUAGUGCAAAAGAUGUUUCAGAGGCUAGAGGGUCAGAGGGCAAAGGGAAGAAAUCUUCAGCACACAGCUCAGGUCAAAGGGGAAGAAAGCCUGGUGGAAGAAAUCCAGGAACGGCUGUGUCAGCAGCUAGUCCUUUCCAGCAAGGCAGUUUUUCAGGAACUCCAGGCAGUGUAAAAUCAUCUUCGGGAAGUUCAGUGCAGUCUCCCCAGGAUUACUUGAGCUUUACAGACUCAGAUCUGCGUAAUGACAGUUAUACUCACUCCCAACAGUCAUCAUCAACCAAAGAUGUACAUAAAGGAGAGUCUGGAAGCCAGGAAGGGGGGGUAAAUAGUUUUAGUUCCAUAAUUGGUCUCCCUUCAACCUCAGCUGUUAUUUCACAGCCUAAAAGCUUUGAAAAUUCACCUGGAGAUUUGGGUAAUUCCAGCCUUCCCACAGCAGGAUAUAAACGGGCUCAAACUUCUGGCAUAGAAGAAGAAACUGUAAAAGAAAAGAAAAGAAAAGGAAAUAAGCAAAGUAAGCAUGGGCCUGGUAGACCCAAAGGAAACAAAAAUCAAGAGAAUGUUUCUCAUCUCUCAGUUUCUUCUGCUUCACCAACGUCAUCUGUAGCAUCAGCUGCAGGAAGUGUAACCAGCUCUAGUCUUCAGAAAUCCCCCACGCCGCUCAGGAAUGGGAGUGUGCAGAGUCUUAGCGUGGGCUCCUCUCCGCUUGGUUCAGAAAUUUCCAUGCAGUAUCGGCAUGAUGGAGCUUGUCCAACAACUACUUUCUCAGAGUUGCUGAAUGCAAUACACAAUGGUAUUUAUAACAGCAGUGAUGUAGCAGUAUCAUUUCCAAAUGUAGUAUCUGGCUCAGGAUCUAGUACCCCUGUCUCCAGUUCUCAUUUACCUCAGCAGUCUUCUGGGCAUUUACAGCAAGUGGGAGCACUCUCCCCAUCAGCAGUAUCAUCUGCACCCUCCGCUGUUGCAACAACUCAGGCAAAUACCCUAUCUGGAUCUUCUCUUAGUCAGGCACCAUCUCAUAUCUAUGGCAGUAGAUUAAAUCCAAAUUCAUCAAUGGCAGCUCUCAUAGCUCAGUCUGAAAACAAUCAAACAGAUCAAGAUCUUGGAGACAAUAGCCGCAGCCUUGUUGGCAGAGGAAGCUCACCCCGAGGAAGUCUCUCACCAAGAUCCCCGGUAAGCAGCUUACAGAUCCGCUAUGAUCAACCGGGCAACAGCGGUUUGGAAAACCUGCCUCCAGUAGCAGCCAGCAUAGAGCAGCUUCUGGAGAGGCAGUGGAGUGAAGGACAACAGUUUUUACUAGAACAGGGCACCCCUAGUGACAUUUUAGGAAUGCUGAAGUCAUUGCACCAACUUCAAGUAGAAAAUCGAAGAUUAGAGGAACAGAUUAAAAACUUGACUGCCAAAAAGGAGCGCCUUCAAUUAUUGAAUGCACAGCUUUCAGUGCCUUUUCCAACAAUAACAACAAAUCCCAGCCCAUCUCAUCAAAUUCAUGCAUUUUCAGCACAGAAUGCUCCUACUACUGAUUCCUUGAACAGCAGUAAGAGCCCUCAUCUAGGAAACAGCUUUUUACCUGAUAAUUCUCUUCCUAUAUUAAAUCAGGACUUAACCUCCAGUGGACAAAGCACCAGCAGCUCAUCGGCUCUUUCUACUCCACCUCCUGCUGGGCAGAGUCCAGCUCAGCAGGGCCCAGGCGUUAGCGGAGUUCAGCAGGUCAAUGGUGUGACAGUGGGGGCACUGGCUAGUGGAAUGCAGACUGUAACAUCCACCAUUCCUGCCGUGCCUGGAGUGGGUGGAAUAAUUGGAGCUUUGCCAGGUAACCAACUGGCAAUUAAUGGCAUUGUAGGAGCUUUAAAUGGGGUUAUUCAGACCCCUGUCACAAUAUCCCAGAACCCUACCCCCCUUACCCACACAACUGUACCACCUAAUGCAACACAUCCAAUGCCAGCUACACUGACUAACAGGUAAGAAACUUACUUAAAUAGCUUGUGGGUUUUUUAGUCCAGCGUGGCACCAAUGCUGUUCACACUUUAGACUGGGAGCUUUAUUAUGUUCCUUGUAGAUGUACUCCAAAAUUAAAACCUACUAAACCAAGUAUACUGUACCAAGAGCCAUUUGUUUUUGAAAUUUAAGUAAUUCAAAUUAAAACAAAUCACUUUUAGUAAGCAAAGCAUUAAAUAUAUUCUGUACUAAAAAUUUCAGUCUUAAUCUGUGAUGUCUGUUUUAAAUUGUAAUUUUUCUUAUUCCCUUCUAUAUUGCCUUCACGUAUCACAAAUUCUGAGAAGUAGUAUUAUAAUGGAGAUCACACAUGAGUGUUGGUUUCUUACAAUUCUACUGUGUAAUCUUGUUAGCUUUAUAAUCAAAGAUUUUGGUGUAAGAUGAAGGUCAAACAUUUAUCUUGAGUUUUCAGGGAGUGAGACUUAGUGUUUCAUUGCACCGGAAUUUCAGUUGAAUGACAAAGCCAUGUGUUAUUGCACAUACUUUGGAGGAAUAAAUCAUUUAAAAUGUAUUUGAAGUGAAUACUAGUAAACUGUCUCUACUGGCUCUCUUUUCAUUAGAGCUUAAUUUUACUGGUCAUUGGGACUGUUAAAAAAAGGUUAAUAAGUCAAAUCAAUUAGUAGUGUAUUUGGAUUCUUUCUUUGUUUUAAAUAGGUAUUACUUAGUGUGGGUUAAAUUAUCCUUGAAUAAGUAAAACUAAAUUAUUACAUGUGCAUGUUCUAAACACAUGUAAAUUUCUAUUUCGUAAAAUGACUUACUGCCUUCUUGGUUUAGGUUAGAAGGAAAAUAAAACAUUUCCUGACAGUGUGAAUUCUUGUUACCUAUAUAUGUGCAGAGAGAGAAAUAAGAAAUUUGUACUUUGUUGUUUUCAGAAAGUGUUAAGGUUAGAAACUUGACUUGCUAGCUUAUGAAGCGUCAAAUUGAGAAGUCACUCUACAUUAAAAAAAAAAAGCAUUAAAGGCAUAUAGCAGAAAGUAAGAAUUUUCAUUGUUUUUCAGUGCCUCAGGACUAGGAUUACUUUCUGACCAGCAAAGACAGAUAUUUCUUCAUCAACAGCAAUUUCAGCAAUUGUUAAAUUCGCAACAGCUCACACCAGAGCAGCACCAGGCCCUUCUGUAUCAGCUGGUGCAGCAGCACCACCACCAGCAGCACCACCAGCCUGACCUCCAGCAGCUGCAGAUCCCGGGACCCACGCAGAUACCCAUCAACAACCUGCUGGCAGGCACGCAGGCGCCCCCGCUUCACCCAGCCACCAGCAACCCAUUCCUCACCAUCCAUGGCGAUAACGCAAGUCAGAAGGUGACAGUCUACUUUACUGGCGUAUAAAUGUUUCCCCUAAAUUCCAGUUCAGGGCAGAACCCUGUUAGAGGAAGGCUAUUGGGAUAUAAAAUGGAGACUGGACGUCAGGAAAAGGAAGAAGGGAAAGAAUGAGAGACUUAGUGAUAAAACUGGGCCUGUUGCUCAAGAGAAAAGUUGACAUUUGAGAAACGUCUAGAAAUUGCCUAUCCUGCUGUUCUAGCACUUCAUCUGGCUGCUGCCCUGGCAGUCUUCAACCACAGCUAUGAAGAAAUGCAACAAGAAACUAGCUGCACGACAAAGGGUGAAUCGCCACAAGAACAUUCUUGUGAGGCUUUGAUUGAUUUUCUUGUUGCUUUGUUGCACUGAAACGGAAUUCCUUUAUCCCCUACCCCUCACCUAGGUUUUUUGAACUUUGAAAGAAAAUUUAAUAACUAACUUUUGUCAAUGAAAUAAUUUACAUGCAAUGAGUUUAUCAACCUAAGAGAAAUUUAAUAUAGUUGGUGCACAACUAAUUUUGUUAUAAAUCGGAGAGGUGAAUAGCAAAACUAAAGACUUGUUAACCAUUUAUAAACUAUUUGAUUUUAUUGUACAAGUUGGAAUAUGAACUGUGAUCUUUCGUUUGGGUUACAGUAUGCUUGCUCUGUGAGUCAGAUCUUAAAACAAAUUUCAAGGAACUGUCUAAUUUCUUCUACUGGAGUUUUGUUGGUUAAAUAUUACAAAUAAAUAGGUCAUCCACUGGGACUUGGCAAUCUUUGUUAUAAAAAUUUCCUUUCUAAUGGGAUUUGGCCAAUUUUGGUAAUCCAGUUAGGAUGACAGAUUUCUGCUUCUGUUAAAGGUAAUUUUCUUUUGCUAAAAUGCCUUUUCUUUAGUGUUAAGACGUACUCAUAUUUUAAAGAAACCUUGAGUUAAGUGAGUUCUGAGGCUGCUGGGGGAACCAGAUCAGUUCAAAGUGAAACUGCUGGUAGGGUUUGGCCUGAAUCAAGUGCCUGUUAGUACCUGCCUUGUGCUGAAAUGGCUCUGGACGGCUGAGCCUGUGCUAGUCAGUCCUUGUAAGUAGUAGGAGUAGUCAGUGUUGCACCCGCAGCCUUCCCCAUGGUUCUGCCUUUAUUAAAAAACAUUCUAUGCCACUCUAGAUAGCUCAGGCAAAACUGUUUCUGGGUAUUUAUCCACUAAUGAGUCACAAGAAAAACGAGUGGAUUUGGUAAGCAUUUUCUUUUUUUUCUUAAGUUAGACAACUUCCCAUUAUUGACAAUGAUUUCAAGCAAACAAAAGACAAUAAACCCGCCACUACAGUUCCUGAAACAGGUGAAAUCUGUAUUACAGCCCUUCCACGUUGGGGAGCCUCACUCCUGGUGUGACAGUACGGCAGAGUAUGAAUUAAACAAUUGGGGAUGUAAUCAUUGAACUAUUCUUAAAUGUGUGAAUUAUUAGUGGAAAAGACCCAGCUGUAAUUAGACCUCCACUGUGUACUUAGCUGGAAGAACAUGUUAAUUCUGCAAUAUGUCUCUUGGUUAAACAUUGCACAGUUCUUACCUCAUUUCUGUAAAUAAGGUUUUGUGAAUCUGUUUUGUAUUGUGAAAAAUUCAUAAGAUAACAUUGAUAUUUUGAUUUGUAAUAUUUCUAAUUGGUAGAUUUAAUUGAAAAGUAAAAUUAAUUUAUUUUUAUAUGUUCAGGGGAAUUUUAAAGAAAAUCAGAUGUUUUGUAGAUAAUUAAAAAAAAUCGGUGUGGUUUAUUUUACUUAUUUAACCCGCUGGUUGUUAUUCUGUAACAAUUUGUAUAAAUGGUAAAUUUUGAAUGUGUUGUUAUUUUACUUAGAUGUAAAAUUCCACAUGUAUUAAAGAAAAUGUACAAAGUUUUUGUUAAUAAAAUUUAAUAAUGUUUAUAA